rnacentral:tmRNA from 1 species
GGGGAUGUCGGGUUUCGACAGGCGGUCAGAUUGGAGAAUUGCAGGCCGAGGUGCCGGUACGCACUCUCGUUAAACAACCGGCAAAACAAUAGUUGCCAAACCAAGCAACACACAACUCGCUUUCGCUGCCUAAGAAGUAGCGAUGCGACGUCUGCCCGGUCUUCCCCCUGUGGGACCGGAUACAGGCGUCAUAAACGCAGGGGUGCAGUGGCAGUAACCGUCUUCUAACUGCGACUAAAGACUAGAGGACCAGCGCUUCUGGUAUCCCGUCGGCGGGAGACUGAAGCGAUAAGAAAAACGCCGAAUAAGCCUGUAGUACAUUUUUCAGUAGGGACGCUUGGACAGGGAGUUCAACUCUCCCUCAUCUCCACCA